UACAGGUUCAGUCCAUGAAAAUUUUAUGUCAAAAAACACUUCAGCUGACUCACCUUUUGGUAGUCGUACAGAAAAGAUUAUCAACAGUUUUCUGCAGAAUCCUGUUUUGAAAGGAGAGGAAAACGAGACAAAUGAAGUGGCUGGGCGGUUGAGGUCAGAGAACAACUUGCUUCACAUGAGAACGAAGAAGAUUGAAAGAUGGAGCACCCAGAAUCAGAGAACGAAGAAGAAGAAGAAGAAGCAUAAGAAUUUUUUUCUACACAUUUGUACUCCCAGGUUGAAGAAGAAGAAGAAAAAAAAUGGCAAAAAAAAAAAAAAAAAAAACAAUGCCAGAUCGAAGAGAAGAACGAAGAAGAAGACAUUUUUUCCUCCACAUUUGUACACCAGAUCGAAAAUAAAAUUGCAAAAAAAAACAAAUUGCCAGAUCGAAGAACAAGACAAACGAAGAAAAAUAUGGCCCGAAUGUGUAUGAAAGUAUGAAUAACCAAGAAGAAGAAGAACAAUGUAGAUGAAGAAGAAGAAGAACGAGAACAGAGAAGAAGAAAAAGAAAAAGUCUUUUUCUGGCAGAUCAAAAAAGAGAAAUAUGGGCAGAUCUAAUAAAAAAAAAAAAU